CUUAUAUCCAAGCUUUAUACGCUGGCAGUUUGCAUUUAGAGGUUACUGCAAGUUGAAAGCUAUCUCACUGCGAACUUAGUGACAUCGACCAUGAAGCUUCUAGUGUUGAUGGUUUGUUUGUCUGUUUUAAUUUUGAACAUUGAACAAGUUACUAUGGAGCCCAUGAAUAAUUUAAGAGAGUUACUAGAAGUAAAAAAAAGAGUUCCCGCUGAGAAAGAACUGAAAGAAAGACACAGUUGGGCUCCUUACGGAAAACGAGGAAUAUAUUUAAAAUGAUGACGUCAUUUAUUGAAGAUGAAAAUGUAACGAAAGAGAACAGUAACAAGAGGAACAACAACAUUUUGUUAACAUUCACAUUUAUAAUAUUAAAAUUAUGUACUAAUAGAACUAUGAUUUAAAAAACAAAA